rnacentral:lncRNA from 1 species
UUGUGAUGUAUGGGAAGUCUAUAAUAUUGUUGUGAAGUUAAUUAAAAUAUUUGACCCCAGUAAAAAUCAACCAUAAGAUCUGAACCAAGGUUGAGAUAUUCAAAAGCCACUCAGAGUAUUUUUAUCACAAGAUUUCUAAUCCUUGACAAGUUCUUCACCUGGCCGAAAGGUAAUAACUUUUAAAUUCAAAGAUUCUCACUGAGGGAAUGAUGUCAAAGCAAAACGAGAUGGACAAAAAAAUUGAGGAGGUAGG